rnacentral:rRNA from 1 species
GACUCCUACGGGAGGGCAGCUAGUAGGGAAUUUUGCGCAAUGGACGAAAGUCUGACGCAGCAACGCCAUGUGUGGGAUGAAGCAUUUCGGUGUGUAAACCACUGUCAGCAGGGAAUAACAACCACUUCGGUGGCCAUGAAUGUACCUGCAGAGGAAGCCCCGGCAAACUUCGUGCCAGCAGCCGCGGUAAUACGAGGGGGCAAAGAUGUUGUUCGGAAUCACUGGGCGUAAAGGGAGCGUAGGUGGGAGCUUAAGUUGGGUGUUUAAUCCCGGGGCCUAACCCGAUCGGCA